UCCUAAUUAAGUUUGGAUUUCAAGUAAAAGAAAAGUUUAGAAUUGUUCUGUUAGGGAGAUGUGACCUACAAAACUAUUGAAGUCUUCCUCCUUCGAUCGGGCAGGUUGUUGGGUGCUUGACUGGAGUCCUUCUCGUCUUCGUGUUUCUCCUUCGGCUUUCGGUCUUGGGUGAACACCGAAUGGGGGGUACCUGCGGAAGGCAAUCCGACGCUCAAGUCAAUAAAGUGGGUGAUCGGUAUUCAGGUAGGUGCAUAGUAAUAAAUGACGUACCUUUCUCCUUGGGAUGUGUGUUAUUUAUAUUAUUUUAAUGGGCUUACCUCAUUGGGCCUGAUUAGUGGAAUGGAUCACACUUAGGGUUGCAUUACCAAAUCCUUAAUGAUGGCUUAGCUUCACUAACCUUCGUUUGAGCGUUAACGGUUAUACGUGUCAGUCGGUCUAGUCGUGCGUGGUGUGUCAGUCGGUUGGCCAGGGAGACAGAGACACGUCAACGUGUGUCUCGGUCAUCUCGGUAAGAGAGGCCGAGACACGUCAUGAUGUCGGUCGGCCAUAUCAGUACAGUUGCCCCCUAGGCUCGAGGAUGGAUACAUCCGAUGAGUCUUGAAUGGUUGGUGUCGGUCGAC
rnacentral:lncRNA from 1 species